rnacentral:rRNA from 1 species
CCUACGGGCGGCAGCAGUAGGGAAUCUUCCACAAUGGACGAAAGUCUGAUGGAGCAACGCCGCGUGAGUGAAGAAGGUUCUCGGAUCGUAAAACUCUGUUGUGAGGGAAGAACAAGUACCGGAGUAACUGCCGGUACCUUGACGGUACCUCAUUAGAAAGCCACGGCUAACUACGUGCCAGCAGCCGCGGUAAUACGUAGGUGGCAAGCGUUGUCCGGAAUCAUUGGGCGUAAAGCGCGCGCAGGCGGUCCCUUAAGUCUGAUGUGAAAGCCCAC